rnacentral:lncRNA from 1 species
CUAGUAUCGCGAGAUCAGGAAGGUGGCCGAGUGUGUCGCCGCGGCCAUCAGGCACUUCUCCUUCCUGCCCUUGUAUGAAGAAGGAUGUGUUUGCUUCCCCUUGUGCCAUGAUUGUAAAUUUCCUGAGGCCUCCUCAGCCCUGCAGAACUGGCUAGAGCAAUGUAUCUUAGGCUCACUUAAGGAAGCUGUAGAGAUGAGCCCAAGGAGGGAAACCAGAAGAGCCCCCCAGGCUCACCAGUUGUUUGUUGGCUCCCUACAAACAUGUCAUUCAAGUGGCUAAUCUUACAACAGCACAAAUUCAUCUAACCAGAAAGAGAAGAGGAGGCUCCAAAGGCACUUGACUACUGAGCAUCACCCUGGACGUGUACAAGUCUGCGUCCUUAUUGUUUUCUUCAUUGGGCCGAACUUUCUGGUCCUCAUCCAACAGCUCUUCUAUCACGUGUUCGAAAGUGUCAGCCAAUGAUGUCAAGCCUCUUGAACCUGCCUUGGGCCCAUUCACGCUCUCCAGAGUCCCAUGGGUCCGCACACCUGGGUAGGCCAAGCCACCUUGUCCUCGGAUGUUUGCUUCUUUCAUGGGGGCAGCCUUCAUGCAACCAAAGUAUGAAAUAACCAUAAGAUACUCUAUUAUAGCAAAGAAGAAAGAUAAUUUCAUUGAGCCAUCCUGUUUUACAGGAUUUUCCCUCCUGGUGAGUCAAAAUGAACAAGAAAUACCCCAGGACCUCCCUUCCCUCCUUGGCCAUUAAUGAGAUGAAGGCAAUUAACUCACAUAGUAUAAAUGAAUCAUUUGAGGUGAUGACUGCAUUUUAGGCAAAUGAUGACUUUCUUGGUUCCAUUGGUUUGCAAGUAAAAGUUACACACAUUGAAAAGACACUGAAACAGAUUUCCUAAAUGCUUCAUUUUCUGGAUGCACCAAUGUUGACCUACUAUACAUGUUAAAUGGUUUUAAAAUAUCACCUUAAAAUAAAGGAAACUUCCAGCUACUAACUCAGCUCUGAAUGGGCUAUGAAAGGCUCCAAAGGUAUGUGAAAAAUUACUGUUAUUUUGCUUUAAAAAAUGUGAUGUCUAAGAGUGUCUGCAAUGUUCUAAUGCUUCAAAACAUGUACGUAAGCCUUGUUUAUCUGGAAAUCAUUUCUUUCUGCUUAUAUCAUUUAUAAAUAGAAAAUGUUCUGUAAUAACUUAAAAUAGUUCCACAUACAUAAUGCUUUUAGUGUCAUAAUACUUACUACUGGUCUAUAUUUACCAACAUUUAUCACAUUUUACAAAAUGAAGUAGAAGAAAAAAAAGACAACGACUUUAUGGCCCUGGAAUUCCAGUAAUGGUGACCAACAUGUUUUAAAUUCCAGUAAAGGUUAUGGUUACAUUUCAACAAGUGUCUCUUUCCUUUUUUUUACCUCUCCUGCUAACCCAGAGGUAAAUUUCCCAAAAA